rnacentral:lncRNA from 1 species
UUUCUAAAGGCCGUCUUGAAGAAAAUUAAACCAGAAAGAUCAAGAAAGGCUGGAGCAGUGGAAAGAGAACUAUGCACAAGGAUGAGGAGAAUAAUUGUGAUUGUGGGACAGGGCCCCAGGAGAGAGGUAUAGCAGACUGGCCUUGGAAAGCCUGCAGCUGCAUCAGGAAGGCAAAGCAUGCUUGGAAAAAAUGCUGACUGAACAGUCCCUGGAAAGUAAUACAGUGGAGGAGGACCCCCAUGAUUACAUUCUGCGAGAGGAGUUCCUAAGCAUUGCAGCAUGAAAAACAGUGCUUAAAAGCUUAAGCAAUAUUUUUCAAAAUAUUGACCUAUCUCAGUAGGAACUGAGAUAGGCAACAAAUCUGACUGACAGAAUACAUUUCAAACUUUCAAAAUUGUGUCUUCCUCUUACUGUGGGUCCUUACCCCUGAACAAAGUUCAUCACACCUGGCUUCACGUUGCAGGGUAUAUUUUUUUGAUGCCUGCCUUAUCUGGCUUCCAGUCAUGCCCUGGAAUUUGAGUGUCUCUCAAAUGUAAAAAUCAAAAAGUAUAUUGUAAAAAUGUCUAUACUAUGCAAAGUAAUAUACAGAUUCAAUGCAAUUUCUAUCAAGAUUCCAAUGACAUUUUUCACAGAAAUAGAAAAAAAUCUAAAAUUUAUAUGAAAACAUCAAAGACAUCAAAUAGCCAAAACAAUCUUGAACAAAAAGAACAAAGCUGGAAGCAUUACACUAUUUGAUUUCAAAAUGUACUGCAAAGCUAUAGCAAUCAAAACAACAUGGUACUGGCACAAAAACAGAAAUAUGGACCAAUGAAAUUGAACAGAGAGCCCAGAAAUAAAUUCACCCAUUUACAGUUAACUGAUCUUCAACAAAAGUGCCAAGAUCAUACAACUGAGAAAGGACAGUCUCUUCAAUAAAUGGUGCUGGAAAAACUUGAUAUCCACAUGCAGAAGAAUGAAAUUGGACCCUUAUUUCAUCCCAUAUACAAAAAUCAACAUAAAAUGGAUUAAAGACUUAAAUGUAAGACCAGAAACUAUAAAACUAUUAGAAGAAAACCUAGAGACAUUGACAUUGGUCUUGGCAAAGAUUUUUUGGAUAUGACCCCAAAAGCACAGGCAGCAAAAGCAAAACUAGACAAAUGGAAUUACAUCAAACCAAAAAAAUAGCUUCACAGCAAAAGAAGCAAUCAACAGAGUGAAGAGAAAACCUAUGCAAUGGGAGAAAAUAUAUGUAAAUCAUACAUGAAAUAAGGAACUAAUAUCCAAAAUAUAUAAGAAAUUCAAACAU